CCUACGGGAGGCAGCAGUAGGGAAUCUUCCGCAAUGGACGAAAGUCUGACGGAGCAACGCCGCGUGAACGAUGAAGGCCUUCGGGUCGUAAAGUUCUGUUGUUAGGGAAGAACAAGUGCUAGUUGAAUAAGCUGGCACCUUGACGGUACCUAACCAGAAAGCCACGGCUAACUACGUGCCAGCAGCCGCGGUAAUACGUAGGUGGCAAGCGUUGUCCGGAAUUAUUGGGCGUAAAGCGCGCGCAGGCGGUUUCUUAAGUCUGAUGUGAAAGCCCCCGGCUCAACCGGGGAGGGUCAUUGGAAACUGGGAAACUUGAGUGCAGAAGAGGAAAGUGGAAUUCCAAGUGUAGCGGUGAAAUGCGUAGAGAUUUGGAGGAACACCAGUGGCGAAGGCGACUUUCUGGUCUGUAACUGACGCUGAGGCGCGAAAGCGUGGGGAGCAAACAGGAUUAGAUACCCUGGUAGUCCACGCUGUAAACGAUGAGUGCUAAGUGUUAGAGGGUUUCCGCCCUUUAGUGCUGAAGUUAACGCAUUAAGCACUCCGCCUGGGGAUACGGUCGCAAGACUGAAACUCAAAGGAUUGACGGCUGAGACNGCGAGACGACGACGAGGGAGAG
rnacentral:rRNA from 1 species